rnacentral:ncRNA from 1 species
AGACAUAGAGCGGUAAGACCGCUGUGGGUUGUCCAUGGUGUUCCCUUCCGGAGGUUGGCAAAGCCGUGGCGAACCAAGCCCACAGGGCACGCUCUUUUU